AGAGUUUGAUCCUGGCUCAGGAUGAACGCUAGCGACAGGCUUAACACAUGCAAGUCGAGGGGCAGCGGGGGCUGUGGCAACACAGCCCGCCGGCGACCGGCGCACGGGUGAGUAACACGUAUGCAACCUGCCCGUCACAGGGGGAUAAGCGGAAGAAAUUCCGUCUAAUACCGCGUAUAUCAACCGGGGGCAUCCCCGGUUGAAGAAAGAUUUAUCGGUGACGGAUGGGCAUGCGGCGCAUUAGCUGGUUGGCGGUGUAACGGACCACCAAGGCGACGAUGCGUAGGGGUUCUGAGAGGAAGGUCCCCCACACUGGUACUGAGACACGGACCAGACUCCUACGGGAGGCAGCAGUGAGGAAUAUUGGUCAAUGGGCGUGAGCCUGAACCAGCCAAGUCGCGUGAGGGAAGAAUGUCCUAUGGAUUGUAAACCUCUUUUGUCAGGGAGCAAAACCGGAACGCGUUCCGGGUUGAGAGUACCUGAAGAAAAAGCAUCGGCUAACUCCGUGCCAGCAGCCGCGGUAAUACGGAGGAUGCGAGCGUUAUCCGGAUUUAUUGGGUUUAAAGGGUGCGUAGGCGGCAUGUUAAGUCAGCGGUAAAAUUAAGUGGCUCAACCACUUCGAGCCGUUGAAACUGGCGUGCUUGAGUGGGCGAGAAGUAUGCGGAAUGCGUGGUGUAGCGGUGAAAUGCAUAGAUAUCACGCAGAACUCCGAUUGCGAAGGCAGCAUACCGGCGCCCGACUGACGCUGAAGCACGAAAGCGUGGGUAUCGAACAGGAUUAGAUACCCUGGGUGAUACAGUGAAAACGUUAAGCAUUCCACCUGGGGAGUACG
rnacentral:rRNA from 1 species